rnacentral:rRNA from 1 species
CCUACGGGCGGCUGCAGUGGGGAAUUUUGGACAAUGGGGGCAACCCUGAUCCAGCCAUGCCGCGUGCGGGAAGAAGGCCUUCGGGUUGUAAACCGCUUUCGGCCGGAACGAAAUCGCCGGGGAGAACAUCCCCGGUGGAUGACGGUACCGGAAGAAGAAGCACCGGCUAACUACGUGCCAGCAGCCGCGGUAAUACGUAGGGUGCGAACGGUAAUCGGAAUUUGCGGGCGUAAAGCGUUAAGAGACGGGUGAAAUCCCCGGGCUUAACCUGGGAACUGCGUUUGUGACUGGCGGGCUGGAGUGCGGAAGAGGGAGGUGGAAUUCCACGUGUAGCAGUGAAAUGCGUAGAGAUGUGGAGGAACACCGAUGGCGAAGGCAGCCUCCUGGUCUAGCACUGACGCUCAUGCACGAAAGCGUGGGGAGCAAACAGGAUUAGAUACCCCUGUAGUC